CCUACGGGAGGCAGCAGUGGGGAAUUUUGGACAAUGGGCGCAAGCCUGAUCCAGCCAUGCCGCGUGAGUGAAGAAGGCCUUCGGGUUGUAAAGCUCUUUCAGCCGGAAAGAAAUCGCGCCAACUAAUACUUGGAGUGGAUGACGGUACCGGAAGAAGAAGCACCGGCUAACUACGUGCCAGCAGCCGCGGUAAUACGUAGGGUGCGAGCGUUAAUCGGAAUUACUGGGCGUAAAGCGUGCGCAGGCGGUUUUGUAAGACAGACGUGAAAUCCCCGGGCUUAACCUGGGAACUGCGCUUGUGACUGCAAGGCUAGAGUACGGCAGAGGGGGGUGGAAUUCCACGUGUAGCAGUGAAAUGCGUAGAGAUGUGGAGGAACACCAAUGGCGAAGGCAGCCCCCUGGGUCGAUACUGACGCUCAUGCACGAAAGCGUGGGUAGCAAACAGGAUUAGAUACCCUGGUAGUCCACGCCCUAAACGAUGUCAACUAGGUGUUGGGAGGGUAAAACCUUUUAGUACCGGAGCUAACGCGUGAAGUUGACCGCCUGGGGAGUACGGCCGCAAGGUUAAAACUCAAAGGAAUUGACGGGGACCCGCACAAGCGGUGGAUGAUGUGGAUUAAUUCGGUGCAACGCGAAAAACCUUACCUACCCUUGACAUGUCAGAAAGUUUCCAGAGAUGGAUUCGUGCCCGAAAGGGAAUCUGAACACAGGUGCUGCAUGGCUGUCGUCAGCUCGUGUCGUGAGAUGUUGGGUUAAGUCCCGCAACGAGCGCAACCCAUGUCAUUAAUUGCCAUCAUUCAGUUGGGCACUUUAAUGAGACUGCCGGUGAUAAACCGGAGGAAGGUGGGGAUGACGUCAAGUCCUCAUGGCCCUUAUGGGUAGGGCUUCACACGUAAUACAAUGGUCGGUACAGAGGGUCGCCAACCCGCGAGGGGGAGCCAAUCUCAGAAAGCCGAUCGUAGUCCGGAUUGGAGUCUGCAACUCGACUCCAUGUAGUCGGAAUCGCUAGUAAUCGUAGAUCAGAAUGCUACGGUGAGUACGUUCCCGGGCCUUGUACACACCGCC
rnacentral:rRNA from 1 species